CUUUGACCCCUUUCCUCCUUUAGAUGGAAGACUCUCCAUUUCUUCUUUUUCUAAACGUUCACGUUCAGCUUUCCUCUCCAACGCAGCUUUUCGUUUUUCAGCUUCUUGCUCCUUUUUAUUAGUUUUGACGCCCUUGGACCAUUUUUCGUCUUCUUCAGCGUCUUUUUUUUUCUUUUCCUCGUCUUGUUUUCUAGAUUUUGCCGCUUCGGCCUUUUCUGCUCUCUUUUUUGGAUUCCCCAUAUCAAGGCUAUUAAUGGUAUGUGAGAUUUGAAUGACUUGAACAACAGGUGAUUUCUAUAUGCCGCCUCGUUAUAAGAAAGGCGACGAAGGAUGGAUUAAUAAUCUGAUCUGAUAAUUUUUAUAAGUGAAUGUCUCGUUAUAUCUCCCUAUUUUUAUCAGUGUAUUUACAAAGGUGUAUUGAUAACACUGAACAAACGGCGUCAAACGUUGGUAUGUAACUGAAUUUUUAUCACUAAAAUAGAAAAUAAAAGUUCUUAAUUGGAAAUCUGCUACUAUUUAUUUCCUUAAAUGCCUUGAUGCAGGCUAAGGGUAUAUUGAAUGGUAUAGACACUGCAUAAUACACCAUAAAUCCUUUUUAUGACAUGAUGGCAUUCUUAACAGUGAUAACUCAUUAAAAAGAGAAACAAAGUCAACCGAUGUAAAUUGAUCAUACUCUUCAAUUACAAUAUUAU